UAGGGAAUCUUCCGCAAUGGACGCAAGUCUGACGGAGCAACGCCGCGUGAGUGAAGAAGGAUUUCGGUUCGUAAAACUCUGUUGUUAGAGAAGAACAGCGCAUAGAGUAACUGUUAUGCGUGUGACGGUAUCUAACCAGAAAGCCACGGCUAACUACGUGCCAGCAGCCGCGGUAAUACGUAGGUGGCAAGCGUUGUCCGGAUUUAUUGGGCGUAAAGCGAGCGCAGGCGGUCAAUUAAGUCUGAUGUGAAAGCCCCCGGCUCAACCGGGGAGGUUCAUUGGAUACUGGUUGACUUGAGUGCAGAAGAGGGGAGUGGAAUUCCAUGUGUAGCGGUGAAAUGCGUAGAUAUAUGGAGGAACACCGGUGGCGAAAGCGGCUCUCUGGUCUGUAACUGACGCUGAGGCUCGAAAGCGUGGGGAGCGAACAGG
rnacentral:rRNA from 1 species